rnacentral:misc_RNA from 1 species
GAUGAAGAACGUAGCGAAAUGCGAUAAGUAGUGUGAAUUGCAGAAUUCAGUGAAUCAUCGAAUCUUUGAACGCACAUUGCGCCUUCCGGUAUUCCGGAAGGCAUGCCUGUCCGAGCGUCAUCAAAAACCACUCAAGUAGUUUUGCUUGGUUAUGAAAGAAGAGUUUGCUUGCAAAUUCCCUUUCGAAAUUCAGUGGCGGAGGGUCUCAUGAUUCCGGCGUAGUAAUAACUUAUUCGCUUGGUCAUUGUGACAAUCCUGCCUCAAACCCCCAAUUCUAGUGUUUGACCUCGGAUCAGGUAGGGAUACCCGCUGAACUUAAGCAUAUCAAUAAGCGGAGGA